rnacentral:rRNA from 1 species
AUUGAACGCUGGCGGCAUGCCUUACACAUGCAAGUCGAACGGUAACAGGUCUUCGGAUGCUGACGAGUGGCGAACGGGUGAGUAAUACAUCGGAACGUGCCUAGUAGUGGGGGAUAACUACUCGAAAGAGUGGCUAAUACCGCAUGAGAUCUACGGAUGAAAGCAGGGGAUCGCAAGACCUUGUGCUACUAGAGCGGCCGAUGGCAGAUUAGGUAGUUGGUGGGAUAAAAGCUUACCAAGCCGACGAUCUGUAGCUGGUCUGAGAGGACGAUCAGCCACACUGGGACUGAGACACGGCCCAGACUCCUGCGGGAGGCAGCAGUGGGGAAUUUUGGACAAUGGGCGCAAGCCUGAUUCAGCAAUGCCGCGUGCAGGAUGAAGGCCUUCGGGUUGUAAACUGCUUUUGUACGGAACGAAAAGCCCUGGGUUAAUACCCUGGGGUCAUGACGGUACCGUAAGAAUAAGCACCGGCUAACUACGUGCCAGCAGCCGCAGUAAGAC